AGCUUGCUGCUUCGCUGACGAGUGCGGACGGGUGAGUAACUGUCUGGGAAACUGCCUGAUGGAGGGGGAUAACUACUGGGAAACGGUAGACUAAUACCGCAUAACGUCGCAAGACCAAAGAGGGGUAACCUUCGGGCCUCUUGCCAUCAGAUGUGCCCCAGAUGGGAUUAGCUAGUAGGUGGGGUAACGGCUCACCUAGGCGACGAUCCCUAGCUGGUCUGAGAGGAUGACCAGCCACACUGGAACUGAGACACGGUCCAGACUCC
rnacentral:rRNA from 1 species